GGGGGUCUGGUUUAGGGGUAUAACAUUCCUUUCGCACAUCACUAGCUAGCUAGUCAGUACAUUAGGAAAGGUCUUGGGUUCGAUUCCCAAGUCCUCCA